CAUCAGAGAAGUUGGUGUUAAGAGACUAGGGCACUGUUGGAAGCUGUGCCCCAACGGAGAGGGGCUCAAUCCAGGAGGCCUGAAAGAACAGAAUAUCCCUCCAAAAUUGCUCUUUUCUCCAUAUGACAGACCAGAGCCAUUCUUUGGGGUGACACUUCCAACAGUAAGUCAUACGUGGAGAACAACUUACAACAUGCGUCCUGCUGGAGUUCCCAGUGCCCUGUUUUGCCUCACAGGUAUUCAUUAAACAGACUAGACUGUGUUGCUGGAGCACGGAUACUCGCUAUCUGGUUCUCUUCAGAUGCAGCUAAGAGUACUUAAAAUUGGCCUCUUUCUCCUAACUCUUCGUGUCUGCGUGCGAUGCCUACUGUGAGGGCAGAAACACUCUG